rnacentral:lncRNA from 1 species
CCCCCCCUUGUGUCUGCAAAAAUUUCUUUUCUAAUCUUGCCUCUCUCUUUCUCUAGCAUUGACACCGUCUCCAAGUCCCGCCUCUCUUUCUCUUGCAUCGACGCCGUCUCUAAGUCCUUGGCUUCCUCAGGUCGGCCUCCUCGUCUUGGCUGACAGCUUCUACCAUCUCUACAACCUCUACUCCAGCUGUGGGGGGGCCACCUCUAUAGAGG